AUUUCAUGAAUUCUCAGCACUUAAGGCUAAAAUGGCACUUUGAGAAGCUUGAUAAUAAGCAGGUCAGGGCCCCUCUCCCUCCACCUAACAUCUGUGUGUGGACAAGAGCCACGGGGAAAGGGGGGUACCCCAUAACUAACAGGGUCUAUCAGUGACACUCAGUCCUUGUAUCAUAUCAGACAUCACCUUCCAACAAAGAAGGGUUCUUUACUUUCCAUUCCAGAUUUGUUUUCCAGUUUAGACUUUCCAAUCAAUGUCAUAAAAAUAAAAUCAUUGAGUAAAUUGUAUCAUUAUAGAAUUGUGUCUGUACAAGUAGUGUAGUGCAACAUCUUACACAAAGAUGUUUCAUCAUGUUUGGACUUAAAGUGUUCAUAACAUUGCCGAAAGUAUUCUGCUUGUGGUUUGGAAAGUGAAAAUGCACCAGUAAAACUUAAGUGACACUUUUCUAAGUGUGUGUUUGGACUACCCUUACCAAAAAGUAGUAUACUUCAAGUUUAUUUUAUUAAGUAUACUUAAGUAAAGUUCAAGUAUAUUUAGACUUUUUGUAAGUAUAAGUCAAGUAUACUUAAAUGUCAUUUUAAGUAUAUUUCUGAGGAGUACAUAAAGCCCAUUUCUGAGAAGUACAUAAAAAGUAAACUAAAAGCAUACUUUCCUAUUUUUAGUUUAAAAGAAGUAUACUAAUAGCACACUUGAAUAAACUUCUUUUUCGUAAGGGUAUGCAAAUAAGUUUCACAGGAAGAAAGAAGGGAGGGUCACACAGCUCUGAUAAGGCAACACCCAAUGUAAUCACUUGCAUUUUAUGCAACUUGUGCAGUUUAUUACUGUAUUACUUUUACUUUUUCAUUCAUGGUUUUUAUUUAGUAGUUGUUGAUUACAAUUGUUUAUCUAUUCUUAAUACAUACAUACAUAUUAUCUAUUCUUUAUUACUCUUGUGUCUUCCUUGUGUUAAUGAUACAGAAAGAGGCUCUACAAGGUGAUGAAAGCAAAUUCAGUACAAUAUCAGCAUUUGUCCAGGUGACAGUCUUGUUCAGGAUAUGUUGUUUUGAUUCAGUUGUUUGGACCUUGUGGAGUUUCCACUGUCAAAUACUGUACAAUAAAGAGAAAGAGAAAAUACA
ensembl:lncRNA